rnacentral:rRNA from 1 species
UACGAAAGGGGUUAGCGUUGUUCGGAAUUACUGGGCGUAAAGCGCACGUAGGCGGCCUUGUAAGUUGGGGGGUGAAAUCCCGGAGCUCAACUCCGGAACUGCCUCCAAAAACUACAAAGCUAGAGGAUGUGAGAGGAUAGUGGAAUUCCGAGUGUAGAGGUGAAAUUCGUAGAUAUUCGGAAGAACACCAGUGGCGAAGGCGACUGUCUGGCACAUUUUCUGACGCUGAGGUGCGAAAAGCGUGGGGGAGCAAAACAGGAUUAGAUACCCCGGGUAGUCC